rnacentral:rRNA from 1 species
AAAAACUCCGGUGGUAUACGAUGGAUCCGCGUCUGAUUAGCCAGUUGGCGGGGUAACGGCCCACCAAAGCGACGAUCAGUAGCCGGCCUGAGAGGGUGAACGGCCACAUUGGGACUGAGACACGGCCCAAACUCCUACGGGAGGCAGCAGUGGGGAAUAUUGCACAAUGGGGGAAACCCUGAUGCAGCGACGCCGCGUGAGUGAAGAAGUAUUUCGGUACGUAAAGCUCUAUCAGCAGGGAAGAAAGAAAGUCCUUUGGACUUUGGACGGUACCUGACCAAGAAGCCCCGGCUAACUACGUGCCAGCAGCCGCGGUAAUACGUAGGGGGCAAGCGUUAUCCGGAUUUACUGGGUGUAAAGGGAGCGUAGACGGCAGCGCAAGUCUGGAGUGAAAUGCCGGGGCCCAACCCCGGAACUGCUUUGGAAACUGUGCAGCUCGAGUGCAGGAGAGGUAAGCGGAAUUCCUAGUGUAGCGGUGAAAUGCGUAGAUAUUAGGAGGAACACCAGUGGCGAAGGCGGCUUACUGGACUGUAACUGACGUUGAGGCUCGAAAGCGUGGGGAGCAAACAGGAUUAGAUACCCUGGUAGUCCACGCCGUAAACGAUGAUUACUAGGUGUCGGGGAGCCAAGGCUCUUCG